GACGAACGCUGGCGGCGUGCCUAAUACAUGCAAGUAGAACGCUGAAGGAGGUGCUUGCUUCUCGGGAUGAGUUGCGAACGGGUGAGUAACGCGUAGGUAACCUGCCUGGUAGCGGGGGAUAACUAUUGGAAACGAUAGCUAAUACCGCAUAAUAGUAGAUGUUGCAUGACAUUUACUUAAAAGGUGCAAUUGCCUCACUACCAGAUGGACCUGCGUUGUAUUAGCUAGUUGGUGGGGUAACGGCUCAUCAAGGCGACGAUACAUAGCCGACCCGAGAAGGUGAUCAGCCGCAGUGGGACUGAGACAGGGCACAGACUCCUUCGGAAGGCAGCAGUAGGGAAACUUCGGCAAUGGACGGAAGUCUGACCGAGCAACGCCGCGUGGGAGAAGAAGGUUUUCGGAUCGUAAAGAUCUGUUGUGAGAGAAGAACGUGUGUGAGAGUUGAAAGUUCACAAUGUGACGGUAUCAUACCAGAAAGGGACGGCUAACUACGUG
rnacentral:rRNA from 1 species